ACACAUGCAAGUCGAGGGGCAGCAUGGUCUUAGCUUGCUAAGGCCGAUGGCGACCGGCGCACGGGUGAGUAACGCGUAUCCAACCUGCCUUACACUCUUGGACAGCCUUCUGAAAGGGAGAUUAAUACAAGAUGUUAUCAUGAGUAAGCAUUUUCGCAUGAUUAAAGGUUUACCGGUGUAAGAUGGGGAUGCGUUCCAUUAGAUAGUAGGCGGGGUAACGGCCCACCUAGUCUUCGAUGGAUAGGGGUUCUGAGAGGAAGGUCCCCCACAUUGGAACUGAGACACGGUCCAAACUCCUACGGGAGGCAGCAGUGAGGAAUAUUGGUCAAUGGACGAGAGUCUGAACCAGCCAAGUAGCGUGAAGGAUGAAGGUUCUAUGGAUUGUAAACUUCUUUUAUACGGGAAUAAACGGAUCCACGUGUGGAUUUUUGCAUGUACCGUAUGAAUAGGGAUCGGCUAACUCCGUGCCAGCAGCCGCGGUAAUACGGAGGAUCCGAGCGUUAUCCGGAUUUAUUGGGUUUAAAGGGAGCGCAGAUGGGUUGUUAAGUCAGUUGUGAAAGUUUGCGGCUCAACCGUAAAAUUGCAAUUGAUACUGGCAGUCUUGAGUACAGUUGAGGUAGGCGGAAUUCGUGGUGUAGCGGUGAAAUGCUUAGAUAUCACGAAGAACUCCGAUUGCGAAGGCAGCUUACUAACCUGUAACUGACAUUGAUGCUCGAAAGUGUGGGUAUCAAACAGGAUUAGAUACCCUGGUAGUCCACACGGUAAACGAUGAAUACUCGCUGUAGGCGAUAUACAGUCUGCGGCCAAGCGAAAGCAUUAAGUAUUCCACCUGGGGAGUACGCCGGCA
rnacentral:rRNA from 1 species